GGUGGGCGCUAUCCUUUAUCACUACGGGUUCGUGGUCGACCAGAAUCUUCGUGACAGCAUCUUUGGGAUCGGAGAGCGACUCGGUGUCUUAGCCGCUGGACCCGAAAAGAAGUAACCAACCGGAAUGCAAGGGACGCUGUCAUUUGGAGUGAUGACGUUUCAUUG